GGGCGAUUAGCUCAGUCGGGAGAGCGGCUGCCCUACAAGCAGCGGGUCGGGGGUUCGAGCCACUCAUCGCCCACCA
rnacentral:tRNA from 1 species